rnacentral:tRNA from 1 species
GUUAGAUGGCUGAUUAUAGGCAAUAAAUUGUAAAUUUAUUAAUAAGAAAAUUCUUUCUAACUA